UACGUAGGGUGCAAGCGUUGUCCGGAAUUAUUGGGCGUAAAGAGCUCGUAGGCGGUCUGUCGCGUCGGCUGUGAAAACCCGGGGCUCAACCCCGGGCCUGCAGUCGAUACGGGCAGACUAGAGUGCGGUAGGGGGAGACUGGAAUUCCUGGUGUAGCGGUGAAAUGCGCAGAUAUCGGGAGGAACACCAGUAGCGAAGGCGACACUCUGGGCCGGUACUGACGCUGAGGAGCGAAAGCGUGGGGAGCAAACAGG
rnacentral:rRNA from 1 species